AGUGAACGCUGGCGGCGUGCUUAACACAUGCAAGUCGAACGGAAACAAUUGGUACUUGUACCAAGGUGUCGAGUGGCGAACGGGUGAGUAAUGUAUAGUUAAUUUGCCUCUUGGAGAGGGAUAGCCACUGGAAACGGUGAUUAAUACCUCAUACUCCUUAUACAGUAAGUGUAUAAGGGAAAUGCUUUUGUGCCAAGAGAUAAGACUAUAUGGUAUCAGGUAGUUGGUGGGGUAAGAGCCUACCAAGCCAAUGACGCCUAGCUGGUCUGAGAGGAUGAUCAGCCACACUGGAACUGAGACACGGUCCAGACUCCUACGGGAGGCAGCAGUGGGGAAUAUUGCACAAUGGAGGAAACUCUGAUGCAGCAACGCCGCGUGGAGGAUGACGCAUUUCGGUGUGUAAACUCCUUUUAUAUGGGAAGAUAAUGACGGUACCAUAUGAAUAAGCACCGGCUAACUCCGUGCCAGCAGCCGCGGUAAUACGGAGGGUGCAAGCGUUACUCGGAAUCACUGGGCGUAAAGCGCAUGCAGGCGGUUAAAUAAGUUAGAAGUGAAAUCCUACAGCUCAACUGUAGAACUGCUUCUAAAACUGUUUAACUAGAGUCUGGGAGGGGAAGAUGGAAUUAGUAGUGUAGGGGUAAAAUCCGUAGAGAUUACUAGGAAUACCAAAAGCGAAGGCGAUCUUCUGGAACAGUACUGACGCUGAGAUGCGAAAGCGUGGGGAGCAAACAGGAUUAGAUACCCUGGUAGUCCACGCAGUAAACGAUGAAUGUUAGUCGUUGGUAUCCUAGAGAUAUCAGUGAUGCAGUUAACACAUUAAACAUUCCGCCUGGGGAGUACGGUCGCAAGAUUAAAACUCAAAGGAAUAGACGGGGACCCGCACAAGUGGUGGAGCAUGUGGUUUAAUUCGAAGAUACGCGAAGAACCUUACCUAGCCUUGACAUAUUUUAGAACACACCAGAGAUGGAGUGGUGCCUUCGGGAGCUAAUAUACAGGUGCUGCACGGCUGUCGUCAGCUCGUGUCGUGAGAUGUUGGGUUAAGUCCCGCAACGAGCGCAACCCUCGUCACUAGUUACUAACGAUUCGGUCGAGGACUCUAG
rnacentral:rRNA from 1 species